rnacentral:snRNA from 1 species
CGAGCGGAGUUGAGUCUCAAGACCAUACCAUCCGCCUUUUACUGAUAGUAUCCAGAGAUUCGUCUCAGCAACGCUCUUUAUCAAUCUUUCGCUUUCCACCCGUAUUUUUUUUGCUCGG